GCAAGUCUGGUGCCAGCAGCCGCGGUAAUUCCAGCUCCAAUAGCGUAUAUUAAAGUUGUUGUGGUUAAAAAGCUCGUAGUUGAACCUUGGGCCUGGCUGGCCGGUCCGCCUCACCGCGUGUACUGGUCCGGCCGGGCCUUUCCCUCUGUGGAACCUCAUGCCCUUCACUGGGUGUGGCGGGGAAACAGGACUUUUACUUUGAAAAAAUUAGAGUGCUCCAGGCAGGCCUAUGCUCGAAUACAUUAGCAUGGAAUAAUAAAAUAGGACGUGUGGUUCUAUUUUGUUGGUUUCUAGGACCGCCGUAAUGAUUAAUAGGGACAGUCGGGGGCAUCAGUAUUCAAUUGUCAGAGGUGAAAUUCUUGGAUUUAUUGAAGACUAACUACUGCGAAAGCAUUUGCCAAGGAUGUUUUCAUUAAUCAGGAACGAAAGUUAGGGGAUCGAAGACGAUCAGAUACCGUCGUAGUCUUAACCAUAAACUAUGCCGACUAGGGAUCGGACGAUGUUAUUUUUUGACGCGUUCGGCACCUUACGAGAAAUCAAAGUGCUUGGGCUCCAGGGGGAGUAUGGUCGCAAGGCUGAAACUUAAAGGAAUUGACGGAAGA
rnacentral:rRNA from 2 species